UACGAAGGGGGCUAGCGUUGCUCGGAAUCACUGGGCGUAAAGCGCACGUAGGCGGAUCUUUAAGUCAGGGGUGAAAUCCUGGAGCUCAACUCCAGAACUGCCUUUGAUACUGAGGAUCUUGAGUCCGGGAGAGGUGAGUGGAACUCCGAGUGUAGAGGUGAAAUUCGUAGAUAUUCGGAAGAACACCAGUGGCGAAGGCGGCUCAACUGGCCCGGUACUGACGCUGAGGUGCGAAAGCGUGGGGAGCAAACAGGG
rnacentral:rRNA from 1 species